rnacentral:rRNA from 1 species
ACAGCCUACGGGGGGCAGCAGUAGGGAAUUUUCGGCAAUGGGGGGAACCCUGACCGAGCAACGCCGCGUGAAGGAAGAAGGAAUUCGUUCUGUAAACUUCUGUUAUAAAGGAAGAAAGACGGAUGGAGGAAAUGACAUCCGAGUGACGGUAAUUUAUGAGAAAGCCACGGCUAACUACGUGCCAGCAGCCGCGGUAAUACGUAGGUGGCAAGCGUUUUCCGGAAUUAUUGGGCGUAAAGAGGGAGCAGACGGCAGCAAAGGUCUGUGGUGAAAGCCUGAAGCUUAGCU